CCUACGGGUGGCUGCAGUAAGGAAUAUUGGUCAAUGGAGGAAACUCUGAACCAGCCAUCCCGCGUGAAGGAUGAAGGGGCUCUGCCUUGUAAACUUCUUUUGUCUGGGGCGAAAAAGCUCGAUUUAUCGAGAACUGACGGUACCAGAAGAAUAAGCACCGGCUAACUCCGUGCCAGCAGCCGCGGUAAUACGGAGGGUGCCAGCGUCAUCGGGAUUCAAGGGGGUGAAAGGGUGUGUGGAAGGCAGAGGUGAAAGGCUGUGGCUUAACCAUGGAAUUGCCAUUGAUACUGCAGAGCUUGAAUGAGGUUGAGGUUGGCGGAAUGUGACAUGUAGCGGUGAAAUGCUUAGAUAUGUCAUGGAACACCGAUUGCGAAGGCAGCUGACUGGACCUAUAUUGACGCUGAGGCACGAAAGCGUGGGGAGCGAACAGGAUUAGAUACCCGGGUAGUC
rnacentral:rRNA from 1 species